rnacentral:rRNA from 1 species
GACGAACGCUGGCGGCGUGCCUAAUACAUGCACGUAGAACGAGUGGCGGACGGGUGAGGAAUGUCUGGGAACCUGCCUGAUGGAGGGGUAUAACUACUGGAAACGGUAGCUAAUACCGCAUACCAUCAGAUUUUCCCAGAUGGGAUUAGCUAGUAGGUUGGGUAAUGGCCCACCUAGGCGACGAUCCCUAGCUGGUCUGCGAGGAUGACCAGCCACACUGGAACUGAGACACUGUCCAGACUCCUACGGGAGGCAGCAGUGGGGAAUAUUUCACAAUGGGCGAAAGCCUGAUGCAGCCAUGCCGCGUGUAUGAAGAAGGCUUGCGGGUUGUAAAGUACUGUCAGCGGGGAGGCGUUACCCGCAGAAGAAGCACCGGCUAACUCCGUGCCAGCCGCCGCGGUAAUAC